GAUGGACGCUGGCGGCGUGCCUAAUACAUGCAAGUCGAGCGAACAGACGAGGAGCUUGCUCCUCUGACGUUAGCGGCGGACGGGUGAGUAACACGUGGAUAACCUACCUAUAAGACUGGGAUAACUUCGGGAAACCGGAGCUAAUACCGGAUAAUAUAUUGAACCGCAUGGUUCAAUAGUGAAAGACGGUUUUGCUGUCACUUAUAGAUGGAUCCGCGCCGCAUUAGCUAGUUGGUAAGGUAACGGCUUACCAAGGCGACGAUGCGUAGCCGACCUGAGAGGGUGAUCGGCCACACUGGAACUGAGACACGGUCCAGACUCCUACAGGAGGCAGCAGUAGGGAAUCUUCCGCAAUGGGCGAAAGCCUGACGGAGCAACGCCGCGUGAGUGAUGAAGGUCUUCGGAUCGUAAAACUCUGUUAUUAGGGAAGAACAAAUGUGUAAGUAACUAUGCACGUCUUGACGGUACCUAAUCAGAAAGCCACGGCUAACUACGUG
rnacentral:rRNA from 1 species